rnacentral:rRNA from 1 species
GUGUCAGCAGCCGCGGUAAUACGUAGGGGGCAAGCGUUGUCCGGAUUUAUUGGGCGUAAAGAGCGUGUAGGCGGCUUGGUAGGUCCGCUGUGAAAACUCGAGGCUCAACCUCGAGAUGUCGGCGGAAACCACUUGGCUAGAGUCCGGAAGAGGAGAGUGGAAUUCCCGGUGUAGCGGUGAAAUGCGCAGAUAUCGGGAAGAACACCUAUGGCGAAGGCAGCUCUCUGGGACGGUACUGACGCUGAGACGCGAAAGCGUGGGGAGCGAACAGGAUUAGAAACCCUCGUAGUCC